rnacentral:rRNA from 1 species
UACGUAGGGUGCAAGCGUUGUCCGGAAUUAUUGGGCGUAAAGGGCUCGUAGGCGGUCCAUCGCGUCGGGAGUGAAAAGCUGGGGCUUAACCCCAGUCCUGCUUCCGAUACGGGUGGACUAGAGGUAGGUAGGGGAGAACGGAAUUCCUGGUGUAGCGGUGAAAUGCGCAGAUAUCAGGAGGAACACCAAUUGCGAAGGCAGCUCGCUGGGACGUUACUGACGCUGAGACGCGAAAGCGUGGGGAGCAAACAGG